ACUUUUUUUCUGUGCUCAUCUUCAAAGCUCAUAACACACACAUUCUCUUAUUUUCUUUUUGCUGGGUAAUUCUCUUGCAGGUAUAUUCUUUCAAAAGUCAUUUCUUAAGUCAUUUGUUUCAUUUCUGCCCCACUCAUUAAAAAAAAAAAAAAGAUGGAAAGACCAUUUUGGUGAAAUUAAAAGCUUUUUGCCUUUCCCUGCAAUGAUUUUCUUCUGACCUUUGAGUAAUAUGGCAAAAAGAAACCAAUGCAAUACAGCGUGCUUAUCAUCUGAUCCACCCAUGCUGGCUGUGUGACUGUCGCCUGGCUUGUGAGUUACUUACACUCUAGCACUCACAGAAUAACUUAAUCAAGCUCUGAAGAGAUCACCUGUUAGUCCUUGAAGGAUACCUGUCUCAUAGGAAUCUGAAGCCCUGGCUGAGGGUCAACAUCCUUUUCAGCCUUGCAGUCAGGAGUAGGAGCAAAGCAAUGAUUACUUCCUGGCCUGAAAGGAAGAGAAGGGAGAAAAGGGCGUGAGUGGGAAAAGAUGGAAGAGUCGAUGCGAGGGCAAGGAGGGAAGAAAGAGGGAGGGAAGGGAGAAGAGAAAGGGGGGCCACUGCAGGCAAGAGCACAAAGCCCUAAAUUAUUGGGCUGGCUAAAACGUUUGAGGUUUUCUGAAAUAAUGUACCGAAAAACACAAAAGAACUCCUUGGCCAACCUAACAGAGCCAACUUUUUGGCCAACAGACAUGUUUCUGGUGGAAAGAAUUCUCUGAGGGUUGGAAACCACGUUUUCCAGUUCAGUAUCUUCUGCACAUGGUGCUAUCCAAAGAAUCUGAGGAACUGGCUUGUACACAGAGCAUUUUUGGAAAUACAGCACCUCUUUUUUUUAGUAGCUAAUAUUUACGAGUGAGUUGGUGAUGGACAGGGAGGCCUGGCAUGCUGCAAUUCAUGGGGUCNNNNNNNNNNNNNNNNNNNNNNNNNNNUGAACUGAACUGAACCACGUACUUAUUCAAGCACUUAGCAUGGGUUAUGCCAUUUAAUCCUUACCUCAAGCCUAGGAAUUAGGCUUUAUAAUUACCUCAAUUUUACUACUGAGGAAACUGAGGCAAGGAUGCUAAUUAACUUACCCAAGGUCACACUGAGCAAAUGACAGUCACUGCUGUCAUGCCCCCCUCCUACCUCCACUGUCUUCUUCGCUAGCAGAACCCCAGUAGUUUAGGUUGACUAUAGGCCCACACUCCACCCCAGUCCCUGGAGAAAAAGACCUACACCCACCUUGCCUCUGGCAUACUCCUUCAUGAUAUAUACACUUUCCCAGUCUCCCUUGUAGUUUGCCAUGUGACCCAGUUCUGAUCAAAUAGGUUUAGACAGAAGUCCACUGGAGGGCUUC
rnacentral:lncRNA from 1 species